GCCGGGAGAGGUGGUGUAUUCCUGUAAUCCAACUACUCGGAGACUAAGUAUAGAGGAUAUUUUAGGGAGGGGGGGUUUUUGGGAUUGGAUUUCUCACGUUGACUAGGCGUCCGUUAGGGAUAAACCUUCAACUUGAAUGCCCCCAUGGCAUCCAAGUUGAAGGUCAUCCCGAGAUAGCCAGGUUGAGUUCAAAAAAAGGAAAAGUCGGCUCAAAAGACACCGAGUUGAGAGUCGUGGAAGUUCAAUUUCAGCUCGUCCAAACAAGAACAGACCUGAACCUAA
rnacentral:SRP_RNA from 1 species